rnacentral:rRNA from 1 species
CUAGGCGCAGCUGACGUUACGAGCCGCGUGUGCGAUGAAGGCCCUUCGUGUUGUAAAGCACUGUCGAGAGGGAGCAAGCCGCAAGGUUGAGCGACCUCUGGAGGAAGCACGGGCUAAGUUCGUGCCAGCAGCCGCGGUAAGACGAACCGUGCGAACGUUGUUCGGAAUCACUGGGCUUAAAGGGCGCGUAGGCGGGAUGGCAAGUCGGAGGUGAAAGCCCCCAGCUUAACUGGGGAAGUGCCCUCGAUACUGCCGUUCUCGAGAGAGGUAGGGGCGUGUGGAACUUCCGGUGGAGCGGUGAAAUGCGUAGAUAUCGGAAGGAACGCCGGUGGCGAAAGCGAUGCGCUGGACCUUUUCUGACGCUGAGGCGCGAAAGCUAGGGGAGCGAACGGGAUUAGAUACCCCGGUAGUCCUAGCCCUAAACGAUGGGUACUGGGUUGCGGGUCAGACAUGGACUCGCAGCCGAAGCAAAAGUGGUAAGUACCCCGCCUGGGGAGUAUGGUCGCAAGGCUGAAACUCAAAGGAAUUGACGGGGGCUCACACAAGCGGUGGAGCAUGUGGCUUAAUUCGAGGCUACGCGAAGAACCUUAUCCUAGACUUGACAUGGUGGAAGUAUCCUGGCGGACACGUUGGGAGGCCGGUAUCCAAUCCGGAGACCAUCACAGGUGCUGCAUGGCUGUCGUCAGC